rnacentral:rRNA from 1 species
UACGUAGGGCGCAAGCGUUGUCCGGAAUUAUUGGGCGUAAAGAGCUCGUAGGCGGUUUGUCGCGUCUGCCGUGAAAACCCGAGGCUUAACCUCGGGCUGGCGGUGGAUACGGGCAGACUAGAGGUAGGUAGGGGAGAAUGGAAUUCCCGGUGUAGCAGUGAAAUGCGUAGAUAUCAGGAGGAAUACCGAUGGCGAAGGCAGGUCUCUGGGUCGAUACUGACGCUCAUGCACGAAAGCGUGGGGAGCAAACAGG